rnacentral:rRNA from 1 species
GUCUAUGGCAAUGCCACUCUGAACACACCCGAUCCCAUCUGAUCUCGGAAGCUAAGCAAGGUCAGACCUGGUUAGUACUUGGAUGGGAGACCACCUAGGAAGACCAGGUGCUGUAGGCG